CCGCAGACACACUGAAGUCGCUAGACGUCGUGAGGAACACAUCCGGGGAAGAAGACACAGGUGGCUGGUCAUCGAGAGCCCGCUGGGGGAAGAGCACACAGACAGGCACCGGCAGGCCAUUGACCAGCGGGACAAGGGGUGCUCAAUGUCAUCACAAGGGUCCUUAAGAGGGAAAGAGGAAGCCAUGAGGGUCAGAGUCAAAGGAAGACUUGAAGAUACUACACUGAGGACUUUAAAGAUGAAGGAAGGGGCGAAAACCAAGAAUGUGGGAAGCCUCUAGAAGCUAGAGAAGGCAAGGAAACAGAUUUUCCACUAGAGCCUCCAGAAGGAACACAGCCCUGCUGACCCACUGUAAUGUCUGACCUCUAGAUGUGUAAGGGUAGUAAGACUGAAAGUCUCAGAAAGGCACUGUUACAUUCUUAUUCCACAACCAUGCAACUCAAAACUGGGGUCCUCAGCAAUGAGCGAGGGGCGAGAGAAGGCACUGUAUAAACAUGGCACAUCCUCCUGGAAAGUCAACUUUACUCAAAGGUAAAUAAUUUAACAUAUUUUUCUUUUUAAAACACACAUGGAUGUAUUAUGAAGGAGAAUGCAAAUUUUGCAUGAAUUUUUAAGAAUAGGAGUGGAUUAUUCAACCACUUUCUUAUUGCAGCUUUAGAAACCCAGCUCAAACUAGCUGAAGCAGAAAAGACACUACUGCGCCUGUAAGUUGAAAUUUUGGAGGGAUAUAUUUCAGAGGUGUGGCUAGAUCCAAGGGCUCUCUGGAAAACUCUGUGAAAAAAUGCUUCCUCAAGUCCAGAAACCAGAAGCUCAGGAAAUUCUUGCUUGGUUCCUCUUGUUAGAGGCAGAGAUUAUUCAACGACCUACAGGGUAGCGUUUGAACAUUGUCACCAGGAGUCUUUACUUUGCCAUUUUCCAAGUCUGUUCUCCUCAGUGUUGGUUUCAUUUACAAGAAGGCCAUCUUUGCCCUCGUGGCAAUGAUGGUCUUUACUCCAGGCUUAAGACCCUUACUAUCUACUAUUUCCAAAGCGGAGAGAGAACUUCCCACACCUAGUGACCUGUGACACAGGAUUUUAUCCUGAGGACAGAGGGAAUUCAAUUGGCUAACAUAAUCUGUCUUCCAAUGGAGUAAGAAUGUCUGGACUCUUUCCUUCACCUACCCCCAAGACAUGGAGGUGUCUAAAAGAUAAAUAAAACUUGGUGACUGACUGAAGGAGGAAGAGGGGAUUUCAGGCAAAAUCAACCCUGUUCACUAUGAGGAGACUUCAGAAAGGUUGCCUGCUUCUGGGGAGCAUAGUCCCUGAUUCCUCAAGACACACAUUUAUUCUUUUCUUCAAUGUAUUUGCCUGCAGUCAAAACAAAAUCAUUACCUUUAGCAAAGUUCACAUGUUUCAGCCAAAUCCAUAUGCAUCUGAUCAGUUCUGUAGGUUAUGGGUGAGCAUGAACAUAUAAAAGAGGCACCUGCCUGUGCCCAUCUACUCCAUGGAGUUUGAAAAGGGGCCACUUAUGGAGAAUGUCUUUAGGGACAGAACCAACCACCCUGUCUUUCCUCCAACUCUCAAAGUAACUUCUGGCUUUAAUCCUCAAGUAUCUAUGCUGGAGUUUAAGAAAAAUGUUUUUCAUAGAAUUCAGGUGUAUGAUAUUG
rnacentral:lncRNA from 1 species